AUGCUUGCUUCGGCAGCACAUAGACUGAAAUUGGAAUGAUAUAGAGAUGAUUAGCAUGGUCCCUGC
rnacentral:snRNA from 10 species